AUUCAUUACGUUUUAACACAUGUUUCAAUCGUUUCUGAACGAGUCUUAAAAAAAAAAAAAAAGAUUCAACUUGACGUUUGACAGCUAACGGGCGGGCAUUCGAAAAUCAGCCGUGAGAAGAGUGUUUUGGUUUAAACGAUAUCUUACUGUAAAUUAGUAAUAAGAAGCGAUAAAUAUACAGAUGCAUUAAUAUUAUAAGCCUGGAAGUUUAAUUACGCAAGCCUGACAACAAUCAGAAGUGGGAUAAGAACGCUGAAAAGAACUUGGAGCUUAGGUUCAGGACGGAUAAGGAACAUAUCGGGAAGUCGGUGAGCCCCGGUGACAGAUGUUGACAGAUAAUGUUGGAUUGAUUAUUGAUUCAUGAAUCAACAAGAACUGUGGCUUUCGGAUGGCUAGACAGACUGAUGAUGAAGAAAACUACCAGUAAAUGCAGGCCGUGGCUCUCGGGUGGCUAAACGGAAGCAUCUGAGUAAGAUUUUUUAAAAUGGAUUUUUCUUUAAUGAACUAAAGCUUUCGGAUGGCUUAAUCAAUAAUUAAUAAGUGCAGGCCGUGGCUCUCGGGUGGCUAAACGGAAGCAAAUAAAAAGUGAAUACAUUACAUAUAUUUUUUGUAUGGAAAAUGUCUUAAUUUAUAUAUUUAUUGUUAAAUUAAUGCAGGCCGUGGCUCUCGGGUGGCUAAACGGAAGCAGACUAGAAUAUUAUUCCAUACAAUCAUGUACUUAAAUGUAAUUUGUGAAUGGAUAAAUAAUAUAAAGAUAUUUCUGGUGGCCAAUUGUACUUAAAUUAUAUUUUCAGAAUUACUAAGGCUCAUGGGUUAUUUAUGAUUGAUAAUACUGUAAUUUUGUAUAAUUGAUAAUACUGUAAUGAUGAGAUAAUGAAUUGAUGAUUGUGACAUAUAUUUAUAAUACACUAAAUGUUUAUUAUUUCAUUUCAAUUAUAAUCAAAGUAUGUUUAAAAAUAAAAACGGAUAAAUGUAUUAAUAAAUGAAAUUAAAGCCUAUUGUUCACUUCACUCAUAAAUGAAUCUAAGACGAUAAGGGUUUUUUUUUUUUUUUUUUUUGUAUAACUGGAAUGUGUUAGAAUUAGUUUUUCAGAAUGACUUUACGUAAAUUGUUUUUAAGUAUAUUUAUGUUAUUAAUUUCAACAAAAAUAAUGUAUUUUUUGUCAUGUUAGAUUGUUUAAUAUAGUAUGUCUCACUUGUUAUCUGUUCUGUAAUGAUUAUGAUAGGUAUGUGGUCAUACCCGUAGUAGAAUGGCCGAACAUUAAUGAGGAAUGGGGACAUUCCCCUAUCAGAAUGGCCGACUGUUAGCAUUCAUUACGUUUUAACACAUGUUUCAAUCGUUUCUGAACGAGUCUUAAAAAAAAAAAAAAAGAUUCAACUUGACGUUUGACAGCUAACGGGCGGGCAUUCGAAAAUCAGCCGUGAGAAGAGUGUUUUGGUUUAAACGAUAUCUUACUGUAAAUUAGUAAUAAGAAGCGAUAAAUAUACAGAUGCAUUAAUAUUAUAA